rnacentral:rRNA from 1 species
AGCGAACGCUGGCGGCAGGCCUAACACAUGCAAGUCGAGCGCCCCGCAAGGGGGAGCGGCAGACGGGAGAGUAACACGUGGGAACGUACCCUUCAGUUCGGAACAACCCAGGGAAACUUGGGCUAAUACCGAAUACGUCCGUAAGGAGAAAGAUUUAUCGCUGAAGGAUCGGCCCGCGUCUGAUUAGCUAGUUGGUGAGGUAACGGCUCACCAAGGCGACGAUCAGUAGCUGGUCNGAGAGGAUGAUCAGCCUCAUUGGGACUGAGACACGGCCCAAACUCCUACGGGAGGCAGCAGUGGGGAAUAUUGGACAAUGGGCGCAAGCCUGAUCCAGCCAUGCCGCGUGGAUGAUGAAGGCCC